CUUGAUCGACCCCAGCCACAGCGGCUCGUCGCGGUCCUGGCCAUAGGUGGCCAGCAAGGCCUGGGCCUC
rfam:Mycobacterium sp. SP-6446 contig_175, whole genome shotgun sequence.